GAAUCCCGUCUUUGGCACGGAUGUACCGGGGCUUUUGUGAUGCGCUCUCGAAGAGUCGAGUUGUUUGGGAAUGCAGCUCAAAAUGGGUGGUGAACUCCAUCUAAAGCUAAAUAUUGGCGAGAGACCGAUAGCGAACAAGUACCGUGAGGGAAAGAUGAAAAGAACUUUGGAAAGAGAGUUAAACAGUACGUGAAAUUGCUGAAAGGGAAACGCUUGAAGUCAGUCGCGUCGGCUAGAAAUCAACCUUGCUUUUGCUUGGUGUACUUUCUUGUUGAUGGGUCAGCAUCAAUUUUGACCGUUGGAUAAAGUCGUUGGGAAUGUGGCAUCUUAGGAUGUGUUAUAGCCCAUCGUCGCAUACAGCGGUUGGGAUUGGGGAACUCAGCACGCCCUUCUGGGGACGGGUUUCGACCACGUUUCGUGCUUAGGAUGCUGGCAUAAUGGCUUUAAUCGACCCGUCUUGAAACACGGACCAAGGAGUCUAACAUGCCUGCGAGUGUUUGGGUGGAAAACCCAUGCGCGCAAUGAAAGUGAAAGUUGAGAUCCCCUCAAGGGGAGCAUCGACGCCCGGACCAGAGCUUCUGUGACGGAUCCGCGGUAGAGCAUGUAUGUUGGGACCCGAAAGAUGGUGAACUAUGCCUGAAUAGGGUGAAGCCAGAGGAAACUCUGGUGGAGGCUCGUAGCGAUUCUGACGUGCAAAUCGAUCGUCAAAUUUGGGUAUAGGGGCGAAAGACUAAUCGAACCAUCUAGUAGCUGGUUCCUGCC
rnacentral:rRNA from 1 species